GGGGUCUCCAUUCUGCCGAUCAUUUUUCAAGUUUCCAACCAAAAUCAUUUCUCAAAUUCUGUAUCCAUUUUCUUCAGUUUUUGGCUCCAGCAAUCAAUUUCCAGCAAGUCUCUGUUGAUUUGAGUCGGAUCGUGUGCUGGCUCCACCUCCGAGGAAUUUCAGGUGUUCAAUUUCCAUUUGUAAUGUCUCUUUAUGUUCUAGUAGUAGUGAUAUUUGGAUUUUUUUUUUGUUAAGUUAAUUUUGGUCUUGUGUAGAGUUAACAGAACAGGUCCGAGCCCAAAAGCCCGCUUGUAUCAAUUUGAGUCCGUAACGAUCGGAGUUUGAGAAAA